AGAGUUUGAUCCUGGCUCAGAACGAACGCUGGCGGCAUGCUUAACACAUGCAAGUCGAACGGUCAUUGAGGGUUCGCCUUCAAUGAUAGUGGCAGACGGGUGAGUAACACGUGGGAACGUACCCUUUAGUUCAGAAUAACGUUUGGAAACGAACGCUAAUACUGGAUAAGCCCUUCGGGGGAAAGAUUUAUCGCUAGAGGAGCGGCCCGCGUUAGAUUAGCUAGUUGGUGAGGUAAGAGCUCACCAAGGCGACGAUCUAUAGCUGGUCUGAGAGGACGAUCAGCCACACUGGGACUGAGACACGGCCCAGACUCCUACGGGAGGCAGCAGUUAGGAAUAUUGGACAAUGGGCGCAAGCCUGAUCCAGCCAUGCCGCGUGAGUGAUGAAGGCCUUCGGGUUGUAAAACUCUUUAGCCGAUGAAUAUAAUGACUGUAGUCGGAAAAUAAGCCCCGGCUAACUUCGUGCCAGCAGCCGCGGUAAUACGAAGGGGGCGAGCGUUAUUCGGAAUCACUGGGCGUAAAGCGUGCGUAGGCUGCUUGGAAAGUUGGAAGUGAAAGCCCAGGGCUCAACCCUGGAAUUGCUUUCAAAACUACCAGGCUCGGAUUCGGGAGAGGAUAGCGGAAUUGUCAGUGUAGCAGUGAAAUGCGUAGAUAUUGACAGGAACACCAGUGGCGCAAGCGGCUAUCUGGACCGACAUCGACGCUGAGGCACGAAAGCGUGGGGAUCAAACAGGAUUAGAUACCCUGGUAGUCG
rnacentral:rRNA from 1 species